rnacentral:lncRNA from 1 species
AAAAAAGAAAAAGCUAUCAUUUUUCUCUUCCCCUUCACCGAAAUAUGCAGCAAAGAAAGGGUUUUGAAGCUGGAAAAUUUCAGCAACAUAUUUCCCUUGCUUGUAAGUGAUUUUAAUGUCUUUGCUUGAUGAUUUUUAUAUUUUUGGAACCCCUAAAGCAUAAGCUUUCAUAAGAGGGGAUUAUUUUGCAAAAUGAUGAAGAUUCUAGGGUUUUACCAUGAGAGUAAAUGUGUUGUUUGCUGUGUUUUUAUGGAAGAUUAUGAGUCCUAGUUGUCUAAUAAACAACUUUUGUGAAAGAAAUUGCAUGAAAAUACCUUAAAAAGGGGUAAAUUGCUAAGUUGUAAAAUGAGUUGUAAAUGUGUAAAAUAGUUGAAAUUAUGAGUUGCUAUAGUUAUGAAAAUGGUUCAUCUAGACUCAAAGAGUAAAGAAAUGUGAUAAAAAUUAAUUUACGAGCAUUGGGGCAAAAGUGAAAAUAUGCAAAAGUUUAGGGGUCAAAAAUGAAAAUUUGUAAAAAUAUGAUUUUUAGACCCAUAUGAAUAUUGUGACUGAUUGGUAGGCUAAAUGUGAUGUUAUAGAUGAUGAAAAUUGAGAUUUGGACCUAGAACGGAAAGAAAUCGAUUUAUGGACGAGUAUGUCUUUUCAUCUUUGUGGUAUCGAGGUAAGUUCAUGUGUAAAUGUAGUAACAUAAUUGUCAUUUUAAGCAAUUUAAUGUUGUUUAUAUGAUAUGAUGCUGAUUUUUAUCAUGAAAUAUAUGCUUUGUGGUUAUUUUCGAAUAAAAUGCAAGUUAUGUGUAUUAUUUGUUACAUAUAAAGUGCUACCGUGUAUUGGUUUCGGUAUUUUACGGAAGAUGGCAAGGAUAUGUGUUCGAGGAAAAUCCCGUAUGAACCUUAGGAAUAGAUUAGGAUACAAGUGACAUGUCACUAGGAUGGUUGAGCAUCCGAACUCGUUGAGUUGAGUCCGAGUUCACUUAUGGAUGCGAAUGUUCGAACUCGUUGAGUUGAGUCUGAGUUUGUGAGAUGUAACUAGGCAUCCGAGCUCGUUGAGUUGAGUCCGAGUUCACUUAUGGAUGCGAACGCCCGAGCUCGUUGAGUUGAGUCUGAGUUCACUUAUGGGCGGGUUACAUGGUAGCUUGGCUACAUAUGUGGCACUUAUGUGCAAACUUUCCAUGUAUCCGAAUUAUAUUCCAAUGUGUUCAACGGGUAAAAUUCUACUCAAAUGGAGGAAUACUCGAGAUGAAAGGGACGUAUUGGUAAAUGUUGUGAAAUGGAUACUUUGAACAGGUAUGUACUUAACCCUCGGGUUGAAAACUCGACAUAACAACAAUAUGGUAAGAUGGUGAAUGAAAAUGUGAUAUGAAUGUGUCGGUGAUGAUUAUACAAACGAUGUUGUAUUAAUUUUGUGAACAAUGAUCAUGAAUGAGUAAUUUAGCCUUGACAGAUUUGAGUUACUGCAGUAUUGUAACUUUGAAAAUACACUAAAAAUAGUGGAAAAUGAGUUAGAGGCAGAAUAAAAUAUGGGAUUAAAGCUCAAUGAGUCUAUUUUCACAUGAAAGAAACAGGGGAAGAAAAAGAAUUCCAUAUUGUGUGAUAUUUGAAUUCUUGUGAAACAGGGUCUGAAUGAAUUUGAGAUCCCAUGUUCUAACUUUAUAAAUUCACCAAAAAUUGUACAAAAAUUAUUAAGAGUUAUAACUUACAUGCAUAGAUUCCUUAUUGAGUAUAUUUUUAUGGGAAAUAAACGGCAUGGUUGUUGGAAUUUUGUACAGGGAGAAAUUCGGUUUUUAGUGCUCAGGGGUCAGAGUGGUCAUACCCUGAAACAGGGGAGACUUUAACUAAUAAAAUGUACUAUUUGGCUUAACAAAAAAUUCUGGAAAUUUUAUGGAAGAAAGGAAAAUAAGUCUAGUUUCAGGAAAAAUUAACGGAACUUAAUUCGUAGUUUCGUAGCUCCAGAUAUAAAUAAUUUAGUGACUGUUGCUCAGGAAGACAGCUUGUAGUGAACUUGAGAAUAUGUUGUAAACAUUGAUAAAACAAGUUAAUGAGUUGCUUAUUGUUUUCAUAUGAACUUACUAAGCGAAAGCUUACCCCUAUUCUUUCCCAUGUUUUUAAGAGUUUCCAGGUUAGCUCGGGUUGGAGGCCGUCAGAGAUAUUAUCACCCUAUCGAGUUAACGUUAUCGGAGUAAGUAAACUCAAGUGAUUCGAGUCUAUGGCAUGUAUAGGGUUUUAAUGUGAGUAUGUAAUAUUAUGAUUUAGCCAAAGGCAUUGGCUUGUUAUUAAGGUAGUAUUAGUUAUGUAAAUUGGCCUAUGUUGGCUAAUAUCGUUAUGGGCCCAUAUGAUUAUUCUUAUGCAUUUAUGUUAUUAUUUCUUGUGAUGUGGCUUACAACAUGUAUGCCUAGAGAUUGAAUUGAGAUUCAUUGAUGAGCUAGUAACUAAUGCAGGAUUAAGUGAUUGGUAAAUAGUUAAUAAUGCUUCAUGAAUGGUUUGUGAUGUAAUGAUAGUUAUGUCUAGUAUGUGGUAAUGAUAUAGGCAAAUUCUAUAAUAUUUAUUGCAUAAGAAAAUAACUUGAGCACAACAUGUUUGUAGAUGUUUAAGAGCUUAUUUAUGUCACGUUGUAUGUUAUUGGAUAAGUAUGUAUCUAUGCAUAUGGUGUGAGAGUGAUAAAAGGCUUAAUAAUUAGCCUAUUUCUGGCCACACGGCCUGAGCACAUGGGCGUGUGAAGCCUUAACGCAAGAGAUUUUUUUAAGUUUUUCAUGAGUUCUCGAUUGGGUCCCGAACCACUCCAGAUGUAUGUUUUGGGCCUCGUAAGCCUGUAUAUGGGACAGAUUGUAUGUGAAAAGAAAAGUUUUUAACUAUUUGAGAUUUCAUGGCCUUGUUUAGUAUGAAAGUGUUAGUAAAAGUCAAGUAGCACCUCGAACCCCGUCCCGGCGUCAGAUGCGGGCGAGGGGUGUUACAAUUUCCCUGUAAAAUCUGGAGAAUAAAUAUCAACCAUGGUAUAUAUAUGUUAAUUGUAUAUAAGAAGAUUUAUCUCUACCGGAUGUCAUUACAGGUACUUUCUUCUUUAUCGACACUAAUAUGAUUAUUCUAAAUUGAUCUUGGUUUGAAUAUUCAUAUCAUUACAUAAGUUCAGUAUCUAUUAAAGAUUUUCCUGUUGAGUUUGCUAAAAAUUUUUUGGGUUGAAGUAUUAAAUUUUCUCGAUUAGUAUUUAUGGACUGAUAAGAUCUGCAGGAACUGUUUGAUAAUGAUACUACUGUUUUCUGAUCGAUUUGAUGUUAUUACUGUUUGAUGUGAUUUCAAGAACGAAUGGUUAAUUCUACAUGAUAUGGUGGUAAAUUGUAAGCAAAAGUGUAUUAUACUGCAAGGUUAGAAUGAUGAAAUCUUUUGUUGAAACAGAGAAGAUUGAACUAAUUGUUUAUUGUAAUAUUGAACAUGCCAACAAAGAUAUGUGCCAGAAAGGGGUCAUGGUAUUUACCUUGUUUAUGUAUUGAAUAUUAAAGUACUUAAGUUAAAGUUAAAUCAGUCGUAAUAGUGCGAGAGAAUUCUGAUAUGUUUCCAGAAGAGUUGCCCGAACUACUGUUGAUUGAAGAAGUUGAAUGUGCUAUAGAUUUUGUGACUGAGAUGAUAGUGAAAAAUAUAUUUUAAAUCAGAGGCUUUCUAAAACUAGUCGGUUAUUACAGAAAGAUGUGGAAUUGGAAUGAUCUGAUAGACGUUAGCAAGGUUCUGAUUAGUUGAAAGCUCAGUCAACUGAAGCAUUAGUUCUGGUUUAGUCUGAAAUCUGGUGAAGAAACUUGUGAUUUACAAGGAUGGCAGUAUUUUGAUGCAAGAAAGAAAACUAAUGAAUUAUGUUUUGGAAAGUUAGAAUUACAUGAGAAGAAUUAUUUGAUACAUAAUUUGGAAGUGGUAGCUAUUGUCUUUGUACUAAAGGAUCAUGAUUUGAUAAUUGAAUAUCAUCCAGGAAAAAAAAAUGGAGUUAUGAAUACUCAGAAAUAAAAUUUUGCUUUGUGUUAUGAGCUAUGAACACUUGAUUGUCAUUAUCUGAUGAUGGCUCAAUUCUAGUUGAAAUAAAGGUUAAACUUACUUCUCUACAGCAGGUCUGCAAAGUUCAGAAAUGUGAUAAUGAGUUACUGAUUAAACGAGUAUAGUGAACAAAUGAUUUUUCAAAGUUGGACUAUUGCUGCUGUCCAAAACUGUUUUAGUGCAAAAUGUUGAUUUUCAUUUUGCCCCAAAUUUCACAGUUCAUACAAUUCAGUCCUUACUUAAUUAACCCCUCAAUUAAACUAAUUUUCUCAAUUAAUACUUUUCCUAGACAUUAUAAGUUAUUUCAUAACUACUGAAAUUCAGAAUUUCCACAUAAAACUCUAACUUCAAACUCUUUUACAAUUUAGGUCCCAAACAUUCACUUUCUAUUCAAUUCUUUCAAUAAAAUUAGCAUAUAAACAAUUUAAAGCUCUAAUUCUAUGUCAAAUCAUCAUAUACUUCCAGCACAUAUUCAUAGAAACUUUCAAUUUCUUUCAUAGAAUCAAGAACUAAUGAAUUCAACAAAUGGACCUAGUUGUAAAAGUCACAAAAACACAAAAAUUUCAAGAAAUAAUCAAGAAUUGAACUUACUUGCAGUAAAAAUAUGAAAAACCAGCUUAAGGGAACUCUUCCAUGGUGUUUUUUUUUAUGAGAAUGCAGAAAAAUAAAGAGAAAUCUAGAUAAUUCCACUUUAGUCCUAGCUCUAUUAAGUAAAUUUUACAAUUUUCCAAUUUUGCCUUUAUUUUCUUGGUGAUUUCAUGCUCUUGCCGUCCAGCCCAAAUAGACCUUGGGUCUAUUUCCCUUUUAAACCCUCUUUCUUUUACCAUUUAAGCUAUUUAAUCAUUUCUCACAAUUUUGCAUUUGAUACAAUUUAGUCCUUUUUGUUCAAUUAGCUAUCAGUACUUUAAAAUUUCUUGACGAAACUUUAAUACUAAAUUAUUAACACUCCAUAAAUAUUUAUAAAAAUAUUUAUGGCUCGAUUUAAAAUUCCCGAGGUCUCGAUACCUCGUUUUCAAUUCUAAUUAUUUUAAUAUAUAUUUGUACAUUUCACUAUUUCAAAAUUUUUCCUAACUUCACAUUUAACUUAUACUCACUAAAUUAAUAAUAUUUCCUACUCAUUUGUCGGAUUUAGUGAUCUCGAAUCACUGUUCCGACACCACUGAAAAUUAGGCUGUUACACCUUUCAUUUCAGAAAGCACACUCCCGCGAACCUCAUCCUUACAGCUGGAUUACCAGUCCAGGCUAAAUCCCCUGCAACGACAAUUACUCUAAUGAGCUUGGAUCUGAAUUACCAGUCCAGGCUAAAUUCAGACCCUAAUUCGGAUUACCCAUCCGGGCUAAAUCCAUUUUACACGUAUUCUUCGGGAGGGCUAUAUCAGAAUAGGAUCACCCGUCCGGGCUAGAUCCUUUUUACCGUCAAUUCUUUUUCUAAUGAUCCAUGAAUUCCAUUCCAUUCAACCGGGAUUUAUUUUCAAUUUAUAUCGAGUAUUAUCAAUAUUUCAUCAAUUAUCAUGAAUUGAACAUUCAAAUCAUAUUUUCAUCACAUAACCACAUAUUUCAAGUAUUUAAAAAUAAAAUUCAAGCUACACAAACUUACCUCAUUGCUUGUUUGUGUUUAUAAUUUCAUUAAUUCGAUAUAUUUUCUUUUCCACAAUCAAGUUUCGUAUUUGAGUCGUCCGGAUAUUUAUAAAUAAAUUUGAUCAUCAUUUUCAUUCAUUUCAUAUUCUAAUGCAUUUAAUUAAUGCUCUAGGAAAAAUUACCAUUUUGUCCCUAAAUUUUUAAUUAAUGUCGAUUUCAUCCUUAGGGUCAGGAAAAUAAAAUUCUUACAAUUUAAUCUUUAUUUCCAACUAUUAUUCUCAUACAUAUUGAUCACAGUCCAUGAAUUCUAUAAAAUAUCAGAAUUUUCCACAAUUUCAACUCUUUUCAAUUUAAUCCCUAAACCAUAUUUUCCCCCGAUCUUGAACUAAAUUAAUAAUUUCAUUCAAUUUUAUAAUUUAAAUAAUAAAAUAAUCCAUUUCAUGCAAUUUGGUCAUUUUUGACAUUUUUACAAAAUUGCCCAUAAAGUUUUACUUUUAUUCAAUUUAGUCAUUGAGCCUAAAAUAUGCAAAUUAGCCAUGCUAGAUGAAUAUUCAUACAUAUUUUUCCUCCUCCUCCUCUCCAUUCCAAAUCCUUAAUGUACAUACACACUUGUAAGUAACAUUAUCUAUAAUUUUUAUUAUUUACUUUUAUGAAUAUUUAAGCUGUCUAUCUGCGUCAUAAUCACUAAAUUAUUUAUAUCUGGAGAUAUAGAACUCCAAAUUAAUAUCCGCUAAUUUUCCCUGAAACUAAGCUCAUAUAUCUUCUUUCCAUAAAAUUUUAAGAAUUUUUGGUACAGUUUAUUCUUUAAAGUCACCCUUAUUCUGCUGUCUGACAGUUGUGACCCUUCUUCAAUAAAAAUUAAUUAUCUCCUCAUACAGAAUUCGAAUAUGUUUCCGUUUGUUUCUAUUGAAAAUAUACUCAUUCAGGAUUCUAAAUAUAUAAAUUUAAGUCCAUAAUUAUUUUUAUCCAAUUUUUUAUGAUUUUAAAAAGUCAAAACAGCGGAACCUGAAAUCAUUCUGACCUUGUCUCACAAAAUUCAUCAUAUCUCAUGUUUUACAAUUCCAUUGCUUACAGAAUUUCUUCUAUAACAAACUAUACUUAAUAAGCUUUAAUUUCAUAUUUUAUUCAUCCUAUAAUUAGAUUUCUACAAUUUUUUAUGAUUUUUCAUAGUUAGACUACUGCUGUUGUCUAAAACUAUUUUAGUGCAAGAUAUUAAUUACCAUGUUAUAACACACUUAUUUUCUUUUUCUACACCAUUUCUCAUCACUUUCUCUUAUUUUUUCUUCACUAACAUAUCAAGAAUAUAUGACCUUAUGCAAGAAAUCUCUACUAUUACAUUAUUUCCAUGCUUUGUCAAUAAUAACAAACUUAAAAACAUAUUGAAAUCUUGAUGUACUUACCUUGUUCUAUUGAUACUAAUCUUUAACUUGAUUUUCUCUCUCCUCCAGCUUCUAUUUCCAACUUUAUAUUCUAACUCCUCAUGGUCUCCUUAACAUUUUUCUCUCUUAGUAGCUAUGGAAAUUCUUUUGAUUUCUAGGUGAAAAUGGUGAAUUUUUGGUGGAAGGACCAAAUUGUAAAGAAAGAAAACUUCUUUUCUUCUUCCUCUCUCUUACGUUGGUUUGCAUGGGAAAGAAAAGAUGAUGAUUAUUCAUCUUUCUUUCCUUAUAUAUACUAAAUAAUAAAAGAAAAAAAAUAAUAAAAUAUCAUUUAAAAAUCAAUUUAAAGUAUUAAUAAACUAAUAUUUAUUUAUUUAAUUUAUCUAAAAUAUCUCCAACAUCAUCAUUGUCUCUAGAUUUCUCUCUCUUCCUAUUGACUAUUUUGUCCUUAGUGAUCUUUUAAAAUUCAUUCUUGAGUCAUCACUUAAUUUGGUAAAAUUACAAUUUAGUCCCUCAUAAUUCUUCACCUAUUCAAUUUGGUCCUAAUUCAUCAAUUUUUCUUGGUUUCUAGAUCAUUCCACCCUUAAAAUAUUUGUACUAUUAGUCCUUCAACUUUUCAUAUUUACAUUUUAAUCCCUCAAAUUUUGAGUAUAUACUCUUGGGCCACAAACUUUUCUCACUUUUACAAUUUAGUCCUUUCUUAAAUCAGUAUAUCAUAAUAUACUUCCCUGUGACAUAACUCAAUUUUUCCUCUUCUUGUCACUUUAUUCCUUAUUUUACUAUAUUAAUGAUAAUAUCUUACUGUAGAAAUUUUCAGGGUGUUACAUACCCUAUUAACAAUAUCGGGCUAAGUCGAAUAUAGUUGGCAUGCCAUAGGAUUGGAAGUGUUCAGGGAUAUUUCGACUUCGAUUCAAUGAGGCACUAUAAGUGUCGUACUGUUACUGUUACUUCGAUUUAAUCCGAUGAGGUACUGAGUACCGUACUAUUACUGUUUACUUCGGCAAAGCCUGUAACACCCCUAACCCGUAUCCGCUGCUAGAAUAGGGUUUUGGAGCAUUACUACCAUUUGCAGAUCACUUAAAAAAAAUUUUAAAUACUUACCGAUUCAAUGCAUCAUAUAAAUAAAUAUAUUACCAUUCAAUCAAUAGUUUGGCACUUGUAUAAGCAUCAGACAGCAACAUUGUUGGUAUACUUGCAUAUAUCUCAUAUAAAUUCAACAUUGAUAUAUCUAUUUUCUCGACAUAUUGCACUUGAGUUUAAUAAUAGUCUCAACUUACAUAAUUUCCUUGUAUCAGCAUAUCAAAGAUAAUCAUAUAUGUACAUGUCAUGAAACAUAUCAUGCUCUUAUCGUUUCUUCAUAAGCAUAUAUCAUUCAUUUCAUUAUAUCAAUAUUUCAUGCUCCAUAUUUCCAUAUAUUUUAUGUAUAUUUAUUUCGGUAAUAGCUUAUAUCUUAACAUAAAUUAUAUUCCAUGUACUUAUACUUAUUUCGUUCAUCUAUCUUCAUAAUUAUUUCAUACAACUAUUUUGUACAUAUAUUUCCAUAUGACCAGUUCUUGUAAACAUUUCACACAACCAUUUCAUAUAAUCAUUCGUCAUCUGAUACAUAUUACCUGGAUAUCAAUUGUUCAACAUAUGUCAUAGCGUCUCCCAUCCACGGUCUUAUUUAUCUUUGACAUGAUGCCAUAGUGUCUUUCAACUAUAGUCUUACUCAUUUUCUACCAUGUUGCCAUGGUAUCUUUCAACCAUGGUCUUGUUCAUUUCAUAUCACGUUGCCAUAGUAUCUUUCAACCAUGGUCUUACACAUUUCAUAUCAGGUUGUCAUGGUAUCCUUCAACCAUGGUCUUACACAUUUCAUAUCAGGUUGCCAUGGUAUCCUUCAACCAUGGUCUUACACAUUUCAUAUCAGAGAGCACACUCCCGCGAACCUCAUCCUUACAGUGGGAUUACUAGUCCAGGCUAAAUCCCCUGUAAUAUAAACUCAUAGAGUAUUGUCGGGAUUACCAGUCCAGGCUAAAUCCCCUGCAAUGACAAUUACUCUAAUGAGCUUGGAUUUGAAUUACCAGUCCAGGCUAAAUUCAGACCCUAAUUCGGAUUACCCGUCCGGGCUAAAUCUAUUUUACACGUAUUCUUCGGGAGGGCUAUAUCAGAAUAGGAUCACUUGUCCGGGCUAGAUCCUUUUUACCGUCAAUUCCUUUUCAGAGAUCUAUCGAAUUUUCCUUUCUUUCAACUGGGAUUUAUUUUCAAUUUAUAUCGAGUAUUAUCAAUAUUUCAUCAAAUAUCUCAUUAAAAUAAUAUAUAUCUAAUUAAAUAAUCAUAAAAUAUCAUCAACAUCAUCAUUACUUUCUAGAUUUAUCUCUCUUCCAAUUGAUCAUUUUACCCUUUAUUAUCUUUUAAAAUUUCAUCCUUGAGUCAUUAUUUAAUUUGACUAAACAAUUUAGUCCCUCAUAGUUCUUUAUCUAUUCAAUUUGGUCCUAAUUCAUCCAUUUUCCUUAGUUUCUAGAUCAUUCAACUCUUAAAAUAUUUACACUAUUAGUCCUUCAACUUUUUCAUAUUUACACUUUAACCCCUCAAAUUUUGAGUAUUUACUCUUUUGCAACAAAACUUUUAUCACUUUUACAAUUUAGUCCUUUCUUGAAUUAAUAUAUCAUAAUAUACUUCUCAAUAUUGACAUAACUCAAAAUUUCCCUUUUUGUCACUUUAUUUCCUUAUUUUACUAUAUCAAGGAUAAUAUCUUACUGUAAAAAUUUUCAGGGUAUUACAAAGUCGAUGAGGCACUAAGUGUCGUACUAGUGUGUUGGUUGGAUUCGUUUAUCCGCCAAGGUCCGAAUUAUGUUAAUAGGGGAAAACUACCGUAUUGAACAACUGAAUGACUGUACUAUUGUACUGAAUAACUAAAUGUUAUUGAUUGAUUUUGAAUUGAAUUAAAUAUUUCCUUGAGAAUAUAAUUAUUGUUAUAAAUUGAACUCUUAUAGUAUAAGUGCAUUUGAGUUGAUAAUUGAUAUAAGUAUUGGUUUAUAGAAAUACCACUGAGUGUAUACUCAGCGUACGGUUUGUAUCUAUGCGCAGGUUAAGUACUAAAGUGACUAACUACUCAGCAUCCAAGCCGAUCCCGAACUCAAAUACGUGGUGAUGUAUUUUCUCUUUUGGAAAUGGCAUGUACCUAGGUUGUUAUUGUUGUCGUUUUGAUAUGUAAAUAUUAAUGAUAAAUGAUGGUUUUUGGUUAAUCAAUACAACUAUAUAUGACUUUAAUAUAGUCUAUUUCAUAGUUUUAGCUUAAUUUUAUUGAAUGUUAUUUAAAUGAAUCAAUUAGAUAGAUUAUGUUAGAUUGUUAUAAACAUAGGCAUGUUAGAAAUUUAUGGUAUUAGUUUGUCAUAAGUUUGAAUGUAUAAAUUCAUGAAUAGAAUUGGUUGGAGUAUUAGAGUUGAGUUGUUUGGUGUUUAAGGUUUGCAGGGUUGGUAAACUUGAAUUAUAAAACUCAUUUUGAGUCCACACGGCUUAUACACCGGUAUGUGGUUAGGCUGUGUGUCCCCUGCAUCUUACAUAUUGUGAACAGGAUGCUCAUGUAUUGCCAUACGGGCAGAGACACGGGAUUGUGUCUUAAUUGUGUGAGGUACACGGUCACAGCACACGGGCAUGUGCCUGGCCGUGUGAAAACUACUUUAGAUUCAAAUUGAAAAUAAAUCCACACAGGCUAAGCACAUCGGCGUAUGUCUUGGUGUGUGAAACUAGUUUGUUCAUGAGUAAUAAGUCAGGGAGUUACACAGGUAAAGGACAUGGGCGUGUCCUGGCCGUGUGAGUCACACGGAGUGACAACACGGGCAUGUCUUAAGGACACACGGGCAUAUCUCCUAGACCACACGGGCGUGUGGGUACUGUUCAUAAAUAAAAUUUUGGAAAUUUUACGAAAAAUUUUAUAAGCUUCUAAUCGGGUCCCGAUUUGUUUCUAACUUCUUUUUUGGGUCUUGAGGGUCCAUUAAAGGGUCAAUAAGACAAAUUACUGAACUGUAUAAUGAAUAAUUUUAUAUAAUUCGUGUUUUAAACUGUAGUGACUGGUAAUGCUCCAUAAUCCUAUUCCGAUGCUAGAAAAGGGUUAGGGAGUGUUACAAUUUAUUUUAAUAUUAUUGUAUGGUCUGCAUCAUGAUAGGAAUGAUGUAUGAAAAAUUUAAUAAGAAAAUUUUACCGAUUUCAUGUUUAAUUAUAAAAAGGAUCAAAUUGUAUGAAAUGCAAAAGUUGAAUUCUAGUACUAGAAGGAUCAAAUAACUAUGGAAUUCAAAAUUUGAGGUCCUUAUAUGGCAAUUAUGCCAUUAAAUGGAGUUAGUAGAUAUUUAUGAUGAUUCAUCCAUGGGAAAUUAGAAAAAGAAAAUGACUAAAUUGGAAAUUAAAUUAAUUAAAUAUGGAAAUAAGCUAAUAUCAUCUUAUUUCAUCAUCUUUCCCAAAUUAAAAUACAUGAAAACCCUAGCUAAGAGAAAGUGAGUUCAAGCAAGUUGUUUUGGCUCAAUUAGGUAUGAAUUCUUAUCCCGUUUUUAGUAAUUUUUAUAUUUCUGAUAUCUUAAUAACUUAAUCUAUCUAUUUUGGGGAUCAAUUUGUAAAUUUAUCAAAAUAUAAAUUUUUUUUCAUCUAUGAGUAUGCUGAAAAUUUGAAAUUUAUGGUAAAAAAUGAAAAGUUGUUGAUAGAUAAACAACUUUUGUAAAGGAAAAUUUCAUGAAAUUGUGAUUUAGGGGCUAAAUUGAAAAGAUGUAAAAUUUAUGGAAAAUUUAUAAUUUUUGUGAAAUACAUGGAUUUUUAUUGCUAUAUGAAAAAUUCGGUUAGGCUUGAGAUAAGAUUAAAUUGCAUGAAUUUCAUUUUCCGAGCCUAGGGACGAAAUCGUCAUUUAUUAAAAGUAUAGGGCAAAAUGAUAAUUUUUCCUAGGAUGUGAAUUGGAUGAAAUUGAAUGUGAAUUGUAUUAAAAUGAGUUAAUUAUAUUCAUAUAGAUCCGGAUAGACCUAGUUCGAAAUUGGAUCGAGGAAAACAAAAAGUAUCGGAUUAAUAGCCUACGAACACGAAUAAUUAUUGAGGUAAGUUUGUGUAACUAAAUUUUGUAUAUUAAUAUGUUUGAAUUGAAUAUUGUAUAUAUGUGAAUUGUAUAGAUGUCUUAUGUAUGAAAAUCAGUCACAUUUGAUAAUACCCGGUAAACGUUAAAUCCCAUUUGAAUAAAUGAAAUUCAAUAGAUGCAGGAUUUCCCGUAUUGGUUGUGGUCAUGCAUAUGUUGCGGACACACCAUAGCUCUUACGAACAUCCUGUUAUAAGCCUUUUUGAGCUUUCCGUUACAUGGUUCUUGCGAGCAUCCCAAUUGGUAUUGACCCUACAUGUGUUGCGGUCAUACCGCAGCUCUUUGUGAGCAUCCUGUUAUAUGAUCGGAAUGGAUCCUGCAUAUAAUGCGGACAUACCGCAACUCUUUAUGAACGUCCUGAUAUAGGGUCUUUGUGAGCUUCCGGAUAUGGCUCGCUUGAACUUCCAGUUAUAUGGCUAUUCGGAGCUCCCUGAUAAUAACUUUUCGGAGUUACCUGUUAAGCUCAACGAGCUUCUUGUUUUAAACUCUUAUAAGUUUCCUGUUAUAGCCCGGAUAAGCUUCCUAUUACAUGGCUCGCAUGAGCAUCCUGUUAUAUGGCUCGAGAGAGUGCUUCCUGAUUAUGUGCCCUAAUAAGUACCCCUGAAUAUGAGCUGACGGAUUACAGUUUUGUACACCUCGAGUGUACUACAUGUGUAUCCAUCGAUAUUUCAAAUAAAUUCAACGGGUAAAGUUCUGACAUGGUUAAACUGAACUUAAGAUGAUUUGUUAUAGAAAUGCACAUGUUAUAUGGAAAUAUGAUAUGAAAAGCAUACGUUUAUGAAAGUUAUGACAUGAUGAGCUCAUCAUUGAUUCUUUAUGUUUUUAUGUAAUAUUUGACUAACAAGUUUCUUGAAAUUAUAUGUGUUUAGGCAAAUUACCAAAUUUCUUUGAAUAAAUUUUGUAUGCUUAUCUCAAAUAUCAAUGAUUGGCAAGUUGAUUUUCUAUUAUACAAACUUACUAAGUAUAAUAUGCUUACUCUGCUUUAUUUCAUCUAUUUUAUAGUACUCGGAAGCUCGUAAAGGUUGGAAGUGGGUCGGAGUAAGAUCACACUAUCCUUUAUCUUAUUUUGGUAUAAUUAGUAAAAUUUCCCUUGGUAUAAUGGCAUGUAUAGGUUAAAUUGACCAAAUGAUGGCAUAUUAAUAUUUGGUUGUAAUUAGCCAUUGGAAUGACUAGUGAUGGUAUGUUUUGAUAUACAUGUGUAUGAGACCAUAUUAUUUUGAUAUGUGUUGUGUGCUUGAAUUGAUAUACAUAUUAGGUAUAAAUAUGCCUAAAUGAAUAUUUGACCAAUUAGGUAAGUUGGUCACUUGAAAAUAUGUGAUGGUAUGUCAUGCAUAAGAAUUUGUUUUGGCUUGAUUUAAAUAUUUUGAAUUGGUUUGGGAAUUUGUUAAAAUGUUAAUGUAGGUGCAAGGAAAAAUUGGGUGAGAAAUAAGGCUUGGAAAUGACCUUAUUUUGUCCACACGAGCAGAGAUACGGGCAUGUGUCUCAGUCGUGUGUGACACACGACCAUGCGUACAGGCGUAUGAUUUAGUCGGGUGUCCCUUGCAACUUAAAAAUUUGAGAACCAGAAUGUUUCGAAUUGUUCACACGGGCAGAGACACGGGCAUGUGUCUCAAUCGUGUGUGUCACAUGGCCUAGCACACGGGCGUGUGGCUAGCCGUGUGACCCAAGUAAGAGAGUUACACGGGCAUGGACAUGGGCUGGGACACGGCCGUGUGCCUCACAUCGAAUGUCCAUACAGCCUGGGUCACGGGCGUGUCACUUGGCCGUGUGAGCUACACGGCCUGACCACACGGGCGUGUGUCCCCUGCACUUAAGAAAAAUUUUGAGAUUUUGCAAAAAAAAUUUGAGUUUCCGAUUUAGUCCUGACUUAUUUCUAAAGCAUAAAUUGGAUUUCAAGGGCCCAUUCAAGGGACAUUAUGAUUGAAUAUGUUUGAUUUCGGCUAUGAAUAGUAAAUGAUAUGUGUAAACUGUUUUUAAAUCUGUAAACUCCGGUAAUGCUCCAUAAACUUGUUCCGGUGACAGAUAUGGGUUAGGGGUGUUACAGUUAAUAUCAUUAACAUUUUUCUGUUAAAUUCGUAGGUGUGACAUUCUAAAAUUAAAAAAAAAUUACACACUUAGUAACCAUGUGACAAAAAGUAACUUUUUAAUAUCUUUUAAUUUAACGGCGAAUUGUAAUGGUUUUAACAAUUCUUAAAAUUCACAUCAACAAUUUAUUCAUAAUAGACUAAUUAAUGACAUAUAAAUAUUGAGAUGCCAAAUUAUGUAAAAAAAAUUAAAGUAUAAAAAUUAAAUCUCAAAUUUAAACAUAGUAUAAAGAUCAAAAUCAAAUUUUAACUAUUUUUAUAAAGGGAUCAAAAUUAAAAUUAAACCAUUAUAUUAAUGAAGUAAAAAAAAAUCAUCGACGAGCCUAAGAAAAAAGGUAGUCAAGUUCUUGAACCACUAAAAACACCAAAACAAAGAAAAUAAAAUAAUCUAAACGGAUACAUGAUUGAUUGGUGUUAAGUGCAAUAGUAGGACAUUUUAUACUUUUAAGAAUAAAACAUAAAUUCAAAUACUAAAAUUAAAAUUGAUAUUAUAAAAGGGGAGAAUCAUAAAUGUUGUAUAAACAAUUUAGUACUAAUGCAAAUUGUAAGCGGGCCAAUUUGCCCGGGUCCACCAAAAUACAAAAUAAAUAAAAAUUAAACCAAAUUAAAUGUCCACAAGUCCAAAUUACAUAACCCAACUUUAAACCCAAAACAUUACAAACCCAAACCCAAAUUUAAAACCCAAAACCGAAUUAACCCUAGCCCAAUACUCAAUGGCCCAACAACUAAUAUUAACCUAAACCUAAAAAUAGAGCCCGAUAGGCCCAAUCCUUUGAAAGUUCUUGGAAACCCUAACCCUAGCCCUAUUCGCUUGGCACCGCAGCAGCCUCUAGCAGCCACGCGUGCCUCCGUACGCCAUCACAGUCCCCGUACGCCAAGCGCCAGCACACCCCCUACCUGCAAAAGGACAAACAGAGCAGCAACAAAUAGGAAAUAACGAAAGAAUUGUAUUUUAAUUUUUUGAUUUUCUUUUUUUUCGGCUAUUUUUAAUCUUUGUAAGGGGUUACGAAAUAUAGACAUACUACGCACAAUAUACACAAAGAGUGAAAUACAAAAAAGAAUCAAGGAAUCAAAAAGGUGAUUAUUUGGCUUUAGUUCUUCUUUCCCGUUGGUUUUCCUUUUCCUUUUUUUGUUUCUUUGGUCUCGCAUAUUGUGCAUUUAGAAGUGUAAAAAUUCUAAAAGGAAGAAAAGGGGUUUACCUGUACGAACAAACCAGUGGAAUCCUUACCUCCUUCGCUUGAUCGAAGUCGAGACAGGAUUUUGGGUUUGAAAUCGGUGGACCUUAAGGUGAGAACCCAAAUGGGGUUAGCGAGCGAGCAAGUUUCCCUCCAUCGAUCACCGUUCGGAGUGGUCAAAUGGCGGCUAGGGUUUCUUGAGGCUCGUACAAAGAAAGGGGCUAGGGUUACAUUGAAGUCGGCUGAGGAAAAGGAAACUAGGGUUAUUACUGUUAAGUGGCCUGAUUUUAGCCCUUUUAUAGGACCAAAUACAGUGCCGUUUUGAGCUCGUAUCAAUGGCACCGAAACGGUGUCGUACAGGAACCAUUCGACCCGAUCCGAUUCUCUACCCUAGGAUCCGCGCAUUCGUUGUGGAGAGGGAAUAUUUGCACGAUGUGUCCUCCUCUUUUACAUGGGCAUUUAAUCGCGUACUAGUUAUUUUACGUCAUUUUUGAAUUUUGGCCCUGUAAUUUGAGUAUGUUUGCAUUCUAGUCUGUGCUUAAGUGUGACGUUUUGAGAUUAGAGGUUUUUACCCAUUUGAUCCCUGAGGAUUCGCGUGUGUGACGCGUUAGCCCCUUCAUUUUUAUGCCCUACUUUCUUUGUAAAUUAUCCUUUUCAUUUUAAUGUGAUUUCAAUUAAGUUUCCUUUUUUAGAUCCAUUUCAUGUUAUUUUUAUUUUAUUCAUGUUUAUUCAUUUGUGUUAAUCAUAUCAUUUGUAUCACUUACUUAUUUACUAUAAUUUUGGUAAUCGUAUUUUCACACUUUGUAUGCUAUUUUUUUAUAUAAAUUUUUUUUAUAUAUACACUAUUAUAUAGAUAUAUAUAUACGUACUUUAUAAUAAAAUUAAUUUUAUUUCAUGCAUACUAUUAAUAUCAUAUUAUUUUAUACAUAUAAUCCCUUUUAAAUUUAUUCUUAUAUUUUAUUAUAUAGUCCUACGUAAUAUAUCCUUUAAGUUAUUAUUAUAUAUGUAUAUAUUUAUUGAUACCUAUAUUUGAUCUAUAUAUACAUUUCUAAAUCUAUGUACCUUAUACAUAUAGUUUUCUUUACACAUAAGUAUGUUCUUAAAUCUAUUAUACGUAAUUUAUAACAAAAUUGAUUUAAUUCUAUGUACAUAUUAAGUCUCAUGCUAAUUUAUUUUAUAAACUCUUUUUAAAUCGUCCUAUAUAUAUAUCUUUAUGUAUAUAAGUUAUUUUUAGAACAUAUUUUACUACAUAUUGUUUUGAUUUAAAAUUUCACAUUUUAAUACUAUUUUUAUAUUUUUAUACAUUAUUAAAUUCUCCUUUAUUGUACGUACUUUUUAAAAUAUUUUUAACACCUUGUAUAUUAUUUAACUUAAAAAAUCUUCAUUCCAUAAUACACAUUUUAAAUGAUUAUAUGUAUAUCUCUAGUUUUUUUAAAUCCAUCAAUUCAUUACAUAAUAUAUAUUACGCACUUAUCAUUGUUUUGAACUCGUUUUAUACCAUAUUGCUUCUUUGAUUUGCAUUUUGUUUUAUGCACCUUGUGGUGAUCAUUUUAUAUUAUGCCAUGUAUGUUAACGUUGUAUAUUAUUUAUGCAUUUUAUUGUUAUAUCAAUUGCUCUCCAUCCUUGUUUAGAAGUUCGAUUACAUUUGUCUUAGAUUAGUCAUACUUGAUCACCAUUUUGUUAAUCGGCAUUAUAUCUUAUGUGCGCAUAGCAUCCCAUGAUUAUUGUUUUCCUUUUGAUUUAUGAAAUAUUGCUUUAUAACUUCAAACUCUUUAAAAUUAAUUAUUCCAUCUCAUUUCAAGUAAAAUUAAUACGAUUUAAGCUAGUUUAAUAAUUAUUCUGUAACAGCCCGAUUUUGGGCCUAGUCGGAACAGUAGUUUCUGGACCACUAUUUCGAGGCCAGAGAAAAUUAUUUUAGUAUUAUUUUGUGUUAUAAUAUAAUUUUAUAAGUGCAUGUAAAUUUUAGUAAGUUAAUUUUAGCGAUUUCUAGUCCAAUUUCGAAAAAAGACUAAAUCGCGUAAAAUGUAAAAGUUGUGUGUUAAUGCCUAAAUGUAUUAAUAGACUAGAGAACUAAAAUUGGAGGCAUUUAAAGGGCAAUUAGACCCUUUUUAAGUGUGUGGCCGGCCAAGGGGAGACCAAUUGGUCAAAAGGCCAAAAUUUGUGGCUUUUAUGUGUUUUAAUUGACUAAUUAGUAAUAAAAUAAAGAAAAGAAAAUAUCAUCUUCUCUUCAUCUUCUCUCCACCGAAAAAUGGCAGCAAAGAAAGGGUUUAGAAUCUGGAAACUUUCAGCAAAGAAACUCCCUUUAUAGUAAGUGAUUUUAAUGUCUUUGCUUGAUGAUUUUUACAUUUUUGGAACCCCUAAAGCAUGAGCUUUCAUAAGAGGGGAUUAUUUUGCAAAAUGAUGAAGAGUCUAGGGUUUUACCAUGAGAGUAAAUGUGCUGUUUUCUGUGUUUUUAUGGAAGAUUAUGAGUCCUAGUUGUCUAAUAAAUAACUUUUUUGAAAGAAAUUGCAUGAAAAUACCUUAAAAAGGGCUAAAUUGCUAAGUUGUAAAUGUGUAAAAUAGUUGAAAUUAUGAGUUGCUGUAGUUAUGAAAAUGGUUCAUCUAGACUCAAGGAGUAAAGAAAUGUGAUAAAAAUUAAUUUACGAGCAUUGGGGCAAAAGUGAAAAUAUGCAAAAGUUUAGGGGUCAAAAUGAAAAUUUGUAAAAAUAUGAUUUUUAGACCCAUAUGAAUAUUGUGACUGAUUGUUAGGCUAAAUUGAUGUUAUAGAUGAUGAAAAUUGAGAUUUGGACCUAGAACGGAAAGAAAUCGAUUUAUGGACGAGUAUGUCUUUUCACCUUUGUGGUAUCAAGGUAAGUUCGUAUGUAAACAAUACCAUGCUAUACAUGUAUUUAAAUGUUAUCAUUACAUGAAUUGUAUAGAUAUUAAUGUGUAUGUGAUUAAUAGAAAUAUGAUAAGACAAAGCCUUAAUAGGCAAGGAAAAAUCCCGUUUGAACCUUAGGAAUAAAUUAGGAUACGAGUGACAUGUCACUAGGAAUUAUGAGUCUAGACUAGCUCGAUAGUGAGCAUUGAAAUGUCAUGAGAUAUGAGAUAGCUUUAGCUACAAUUGAGGCACUUAUGUGCAAAGGCUUUUCCGAGUAUCUAAUUAGUAUUCCAAGUGUUCAACGGGCAAUCUAAGGAAAGAGUUGAUGAUGGUCCCAAUGAGGUAAGUCAUUGGUGAGUAUGCACUCGAGUUAUGUUACGAGUUGUGCAAGUAUGUAUACUAAGCCUAUGAGAAUGCCUUGAUAUGUGAUGAUCUAUGAUGCAUAAUAUGUGUUCUUACCAUGAUGGAUAAAAUGGUGUUGUAUUAAUAUUAUGAACAAUGACCAUGAAUGAGUAACUUAGCCUUGACAGAUUUGAGUUACUGCAGUAGUGUAACUUUGAAAAUACACUAAAAAUAGUGGAAAUGAAUUAGAGGAAGAAUAAAAUAUGGGAUUAAAGCUUAAUGAGUCUAUUUUCACAUGAAAUAAAUAGAGGAAGAAAAAUAAUUCUAUAUUGUGUGAUAUUUAAAUUCUCGUGAAACAGGGUCUGAAUGAAUUUGAGAUCCCCUGUUCUGAUUUUAUAAAUUCACCGUAAAUUGUAAAAAAAUAAUUAAGAGUCAUACAUUACAUGCAUGGAUUCCUUAUUGAGUCUAUAUUUAAGGGAAACAAACGGAAUGAUCAUUGGAAUUAUGUACAUGGAGAAAUUAGGUUCGUAGUGCAUAGGGGUCAGAAUAGUCAUACCCUGAAACAGGGGAAACUUUAACUAAUAAAUUGUACUAAAUGGCUUGACCAAAAAUUCUAGAAAAAAAUUAGUAAGUAUAAAUAUGAGUCUAGUUUUAAUAGAAAUAGACGAGAACAUUAUUCGAGUCCUGUACUAUGAGAUAAUUGAACUUUAGUGCAGAAGGGUUGAAACUGUCAGACAGUGAAUCAGGAGCAAACUUGAGGAAUAAACUGUACUAAUUGGCUAAGUUAAAAAUUCUGGAAAUUUUAUCGAAGAAAGAUAAAUGAGUCUAGUUUCAGGAAAAAUUAACGGAACUUAAUUUUGAGUUUCGUAGCUCCAGCUAUAAAUAAUUUAGUGACUGCUGCUCAGGAAGACAGCUUGUAGUGAACUUGAGAAUAUGUUGUAAACAUUGAUAAAAUAAGUUAAUGAGUUGCUUAUUGUUUUCAUAUGAACUUACUAAGCGAAAGCUUACCCUCUUCUUUCCCAUGUUUUCUAGACUUUCCAGGUAGCUUGGGUUGGAGGCCGUCAGAGAUAUUAUCACCCUGUCGAGUUAACGCUAUCGGCGUAAGUAAACUCAAGUGAUUCUAGUCUAUGGCAUGUAUAGGGUUUUAAUGUGAGUAUGUAAUAUUAUGAUUUAGCCAAAGGCAUUGGCUUGUUAUUAAGGUAGUAUUGUAAUAUUAUGAUUUAGCCAAAGGCAUUGGCUUGUUAUUAAGGUAGUAUUAGUCAUGUAAAUUGGCCUAUGUCGGCUAAUAUCGUUAUGGGCCCAUAUGAUUAUUCUUAUGCAUGUAUGUUAUUAUCUCUUGUGAUGUGGCUUACAACAUGUAUGCCUAGAGAUUGAAUUGAGAUUCAUUGAUGAGCUAAUAACUAAUGCAGGAUUAAGUGAUUGGUAAAUAGUUAAUAAUGC